AUGGCAAAAUCAGACGGGCCCCUUUUCAAAUCCACGUCUCCAAUGUCCCCCCCGCCACCCCUCCAACAGUCUGCAGUCACUGGGCGGCUGGUGAGGCAGGCGGAGAGAAAGAGAGAGAGAGGAGAGCAAGGGUUACAUCAAGGCUGCUCCCUGGACCGUGCAAACAAGUCUAGACCAGUGACCUGUUCAAUGGCUUCUUUUGAGGAGCGGGGCAAGUUCGGUCAGAGCGAGGAGAAAGGCAGGCACAGCCUCUUUUCACUGCCGAAGCAGCUCACAGCCCGCGAUCGACAGGAGAGUGGGGAACUAGAACUGACCUCAGCAAGGACCCCCCCAGACUGAUCUGUAUAAAGGGAGCCCUGGCAAUUGUCUCUUUCUCUGCAGUCACAGGUAAGAUGCAUCAGCAACACAAGAAUAAAACCAGGACUCUCCAACUCCGGUCCUGGACU
rnacentral:lncRNA from 1 species